UACGGGGGGAGCAAGCGUUGUUCGGAUUUACUGGGCGUAAAGGGCGCGUAGGCGGUCGUGACAAGUCACUUGUGAAAUCUCCGGGCUUAACUCGGAACGGUCAAGUGAUACUGUCGGACUAGAGUACAGAAGGGGCAACUGGAAUUCUCGGUGUAGCGGUGAAAUGCGUAGAGAUCGGGAGGAACACCAGUGGCGAAGGCGACUCUCUGGCCUGUAACUGACGCUGAGGCGCGAAAGCGUGGGGAGCAAACAGG
rnacentral:rRNA from 1 species